AAACCCACAGCCAAUCUCUGGUUCCCAUGGCUACGAGUGGUUAGUUAGUGAGACGGGCGGAGACAGACCCUCCUCUCUGCUCUGCUACAGUCUUUAAUGAGGUCCCUUUAACACAAGAGGUCCCCUGUGGUCCCGUGACCCAAACCACAGAAUACUGCUUAGCGUUAACUAUGGUGACAGGUUCUCUGAUCGUUUGGUAGAACCCGUCUCGUCUCCUCUGGGUCUCAACCUAAAAAUAUUUCAAUUGUUGACUUGUGCCAAGGUCCUCCUCUGUUACCCAGAACACACUGCUUCACCCAGACAGCGUCCCAACAGUCUAAAGCAGCUCGUCUUCUCCUCCUUCUCAUCUGAAAGUGUCCUGGUCACCCUGAAAGCUAAUUCCCUCAUCAUAUAUACUCUUUAUACCCGCUUUCACUUGUCCUGUGUUUUUCCUGCGCAGACGAAGGAGGGGUGAGGAGGCGAGAGGAAGAGAAGGGAGGAAGCAUCUUCAGACUAUUGAGAUUCAGCCGGCCUGAAUUCCCUCCAUUAUUCAAACAAUUCAGUUAGCGCUCUUGACAGAUAGCAUUUAGCCAACUGUUAGCUCUAGACAAUUAGCUAACCGUUAGCUCUAGACAAUUAGCUAACCGUUAUCUCUAGACAAUUAGCUAGCUAACCGUUAGCUCUAGACAGACAGCUAGCUAACCGUUAGCUCUAGACAGACAGCUAGCUAACCGUUAGCUCUAGACAGACAUUUAGCUAACCGUUAGCUUAGCGCUCCAGACUACCUAGAAUAUAAAAUAGCAUUUCUCAGACGUAUAGAAAACAUAGUGUAUCUAUAGCAACAUCAUCAAUAGAAAAACCUGCAUGGUUAGUUCCUUCAUGUUAAUAACAUGUAAUACUGGGGAAAGGUAAUGCUGUAUACUUCACUGUGUUAGGCAUCUCUCUACUCAACAUUAGGUUAUACCUUCAUCCCUCUAUGUUCACAGUUGAAGGGAUGAGAGAUGGAGGGAGGGGUAGAGGAGGGGUGGAGGGAGGGAUGGAGGAGGGAUGAAGGGAGGAUGAAGGAGGGAUGAAGGAGGGAUGGAGGGAUGGAAGGAGG
rnacentral:lncRNA from 1 species